UAUUCUGUAGAGUCUGCAUAUCAAUAAGCGGAGGAAAAGAAACUAACAAGGAUUCCCUCAGUAACGGCGAGUGAAGCGGGAAGAGCUCAAAUUUGAAAUCUUCAAGGUUUUACCUUGACGAAUUGUAGUUUAAAGAAGUGUUUUCUGUUGAAGUUUCGGUAAAAGUUCUUUGGAAUAGGACAUCAUAGAGGGUGAGAAUCCCGUAUUUGACCGUUAUUUUCAGCUGUGUGAUACACUUUCAAAGAGUCGGAUUGUUUGGGAAUGCAGUCCAAAAUGGGUGGUAAAUUUCAUCUAAAGCUAAAUAUUGGCGAGAGACCGAUAGCGAACAAGUACCGUGAGGGAAAGAUGAAAAGAACUUUGAAAAGAGAGUUAAACAGUACGUGAAAUUGUCAAAAGGGAAGCGUUUGACACCAGUGUUGUUUUCUCGAAAAUCAAUUAAAAAAAGUUGGAUUUUGUGUUGUAUUGACCUUAACAGCUUUCUGCACUCUUUUCCUGCUUUUUUUAAUGCACUUUUCGUUUAACAAGUCAACAUCAAUUUCUUUUGUUGUAAAAGAGUCAUUGGAAGGUGGCUUUCACUUCGGUGAAAGUGUUUAUAGCCUUUGACUUCUGCAAUCGGAGAGAUUGAGGUCUGCAGCGUAGAUCCUUCGGGGCUAGAUACGUAGAUGCUAAGUUAUAGUUUUUUAUAGACAACUUGUUGACUAUAAUUAAUCAUGUAGCUUACUCGUUUGCGCUAUUUUACCUACGCUUAGGAUGUUGAUCUGUAGUGCGUGCGC
rnacentral:rRNA from 1 species